GAUGAACGCUGGCGGUCUGCUUAACACAUGCAAGUCGAACGGGUGUAGCAAUACAUUAGUGGCGGACGGGUGAGUAACGCGUGAGAAUCUGCCUUCAGGACUGGGACAACAGUGGGAAACCGCUGCUAACCCCGGAUGUACCGAAAGGGCAAAUAUUUAUAGCCUGAAGAUGAGCUCGCGUCUGAUUAGCUAGUUGGUGGGGUAAAAGCCUACCAAGGCAUCGAUCAGUAGCUGGUCUGAGAGGACGAUCAGCCACACUGGGACUGAGACACGGCCCAGACUCCUACGGGAGGCAGCAGUGGGGAAUUUUCCGCAAUGGGCGAAAGCCUGACGGAGCAAGACCGCGUGAGGGAGGAAGGCUCUUGGGUUGUAAACCUCUUUUCUCUGGGAAGAACAAAAUGACGGUACCAGAGGAAUCAGCAUCGGCUAACUCCGUG
rnacentral:rRNA from 1 species